GGGUAGGUGGCCGAGUGGUUAAAGGCGGCAGACUGUAAAUCUGCUCACGUAAUGUGUACGCUGGUUCGAAUCCAGCCCUGCCCACCA
rnacentral:tRNA from 1 species